rnacentral:rRNA from 1 species
AUUGAACGCUGGCGGCAUGCUUUACACAUGCAAGUCGAGCGGCAGCGCGGGGGCAACCCUGGCGGCGAGCGGCGAACGGGUGAGUAAUGCAUCGGAACGUAUCCUCGAGUGGGGGAUAACCCAGCGAAAGUUGGGCUAAUACCGCAUGAGCUCUGAGGAGGAAAGCGGGGGACCUGCGAGGGCCUCGCGCUGGAGGAGCGGCCGAUGUCCGAUUAGCUAGUUGGUGGGGUAAAGGCUUACCAAGGCGACGAUCGGUAGCUGGUCUGAGAGGAUGAUCAGCCACACUGGGACUGAGGCACGGCCCAGACUCCUACGGGAGGCAGCAGUGGGGAAUUUUGGACAAUGGGGGCAACCCUGAUCCAGCCAUGCCGCGUGAGUGAAGAAGGCCUUCGGGUUGUAAAGCUCUUUCGGACGGAACGAAAUGGGCGGGACUAAUACUCCUGUCUGAUGACGGUACCGUAAGAAGAAGCACCGGCUAACUACGUG